AUCUGGCUGGCUCAGUGGGUAGAGCAUAUGACUCUUGAUCUUGGGAUUAUGGGUUUGAGUCCCACGUUAUAUA
rnacentral:tRNA from 1 species